UGGCUCAGUCGGUAAAGCGUCUGUCUACAAUACAGGAAACCCGGGUUUGAGCCCUGG
rnacentral:tRNA from 1 species